rnacentral:telomerase_RNA from 1 species
GACGACAACUAAACCCUACGCUUACAUAAAAACGCGACCUUUAAGAAUUUUGUACGGCAACAGAACCAGAGAACGUUGACGGCUAAAGGCGGCGAAAUGGACGUUGAUGAGCGGAGCAGCUACUGUAUCGAGGGUAUGGUCGUCUGUUGAGAUUGAACUCUCCGAUUGAUCCUGCAAAGAAGAAGAAGAACAUCAGUGAGAAGGAAACAACAAUGAUGAAGAACAAGAAGAUUGGAAACUAGAAGAAGAAGACGACGUAAGAGAGAGACGUGAGAAGAAGAAGAAGAAGAAGAAGAAGAAGAAGACAAGAGAAGUGGGUUUUAUGUUUUAUCUUAUUGGGCUGAUGAAGUUGUGUAGGCCCAAAGUGGUGAAGUAUGUUUUGUUGUGGCCCAUUCGUAGAAGUAGCUUAUUCUAGCUAAGUACUUGAGGUAGAGUAGUUGGGGUUGUUAGUGGCUAAGGUAAGGUUGUGUAAGGUUGCUUGUAUCCCUAAGUCUAAUGUCUAGAAGUAAGGUUAAAUAGUGACUAAGUUUAAGGUCUAAGAGAGUGGGUAUGGUGAGUAGAAGAAAUCUCCUAUAUAUAUGUGUAAUGUGUGUAAACUUAUGAGUGUGUGAAAGUAUGAAAGUUUAAGAGAAAAAAAACAAAACAAACUUGUGUCCUAAGCAGAAAAACAACAUCGUCGGAGAUGGGGAAGGGUGUUCGUCGGUUCUCUACUGAACCAGAGAACGAUGUUCCAACUUCAGGAAUCAGUUUGCCUUAUGCCACAAGAUCAUAGCUACACAGAAUU